rnacentral:rRNA from 1 species
GACGAACGCUGGCGGCGUGCCUAAUACAUGCAAGUUGAGCGCUGAAGGUUGGUACUUGUACCAACUGGGUGAGCAGCGAACGGGUGAGUAACGCGUGGGUAAUCUGCCUUUGAGCGGGGGACAACAUCUGGAAACGAAUGCUAAUACCGCAUAAAAACUUUAAACACAAGUUUUAAGUUUGAAAGAUGCAAUUGCAUCACUCAAUGAUGAUCUCGCGUUGUAUUAGCUAGUUGGUGAGGUAAAGGCUCACCAAGGCGAUGAUACAUAGCCGACCUGAGAGGGUGAUCGGCCACAAUGGGAAUGAGACACGGCCCAAACUCCUACGGGAGGCAGCAGUAGGGAAUCUUCGGCAAGGGACGAAAGUCUGACCGAGCAACGCCGCGUGAGUGAAGGAGGGUGUCGGAUCGGAAAACUCUGUUGGUAGGGAAGAACGUUGGUGAGAGUGGAAAGCUCAUCAAGUGACGGUAACUACCCAGAAAGGGACGGCUAACUACGUG